rnacentral:rRNA from 1 species
AGCUCCAAUAGCGUAUAUUAAAGUUGUUGCAGUUAAAAAGCUCGUAGUCUGAACCUUGGCUGGCAUUGAGCGUCCGAGGCCUCGGUCUCGCGCAUGCGAUUUGUUGGCCAUGUACUUCGGAGGAACUUGUGUGCUCUUAAUUGGGCGCGCGAGGGAUUCCGAUAGUUUACUUUGAGAAAAAUAGAGUGUUCAAAGCAGGCGUUUGCCUUGAAUACAUUAGCAUGGGAUAAUGAAAUAGGACAUUGGUUCUAUUUUGAUGGUUUACGGACCGAUGUAAUGAUUAAUAGGGACAGUUGGGGACAUUCAUAUUCCAUGGCUAGAGGUGAAAUUCUUGGAUUCAUGGAAGAUGAACUACUGCGAAAGCAUUUGUCAAAGAUGUUUUCAUUGAUCAAGAACGAAA